GGCAACCCGCUUGGGUCCCCUUCCAGGAUGUGGAAGCUCUCUUCUUUUGUGCUCUUUGUCAUAAAUCUUGCUGCUGCUCACUCUUUGGGUCCGCACAGCCUGUAUGAGCUGUGAUAAUCACCGCGAAGGUCUGCGGCUUAACUCCUGAAGUCAGUGAGCCCACGAACCCACCAGAAGGAAGAAACUCUGGACACAUCUGAACAUCUGAAAGAACAAACUCAGGACACACCAUCUUUAAGAACUGGGAAAACAGAUCCCAGAGGUUGUUGUGGAAGGACCAAGGAAACUAUGAAAUUGACUUAUGGCUGCCACAGUGACAGAAGCACACGGGGCUGCCUUUUAGUGACACCUGCUGGGACAGACCUGGAAGAAGGGAUUGCUGAUUUGCAUGUUUCCUGGCUGCCUCUGCUAGCCCCUGAGUCAGCAGCCCACUCCAAUUCAUGCUGAGCUUGGACAGCUGAGGUUUGAAAAAUUCCCCCUUCCCUUGGAGCAACCGUUUUCCAGCCUCCUCAUCAUUCCUGAAGGAGAGUGACCUACAUGACAGAUACCCAGAAAUUUAUAGAAGCUUCAUAGUGAGGCUAAAUCCUAAACAGGGGCUCAAACUGCCAACACCGAAUGAAGAGAGAGGUUUUGCAGUAAAGCAGGAAGUCAUUAAAAUAAUGAAUCACCCGGCUGGGUUUUGAGCUCCUUUCCCACUAAUUUAUUGGAAAGAUUUAUUGUCUUUACAAUGUACAAUGCCCAUCAUCAGUUGAAAAUAGAAGCUGAAAAUGCAUUUAAGGCUGGGUGCAGUGGCUCACACCUGUAAUCCCAACUCUUUGGGAGGUUGAAGCGGGUGGUUCACCUGAGGUCGGGAGUUCGAGACCAGCCUGGCCAACAUGAUGAAACCCCAUCUCUACUAAAAAUACAAAAAUUAGCCGGGCAUGGUGGUGCACACCUGUAAUCCCAGCUACUGGGGAGGCUGAAAUAAGUUCAUAAAUUCAGCAGCUGUGAGGUAAUUGGCCCAAUUGCUAUGCUACUUUCACCCCUUGAGGAUGAACAGUGCACAGGAGAGUGCAGGUUUACAGGUCUCUGAAUAGUGCCAUCCAAAAAUGGUGAACAACCACCCUGAAAAACAGCUUGGUGUUUUGUUUUGUUUUAUUUUGUUUUCACAAAUUAGAAACGUGCUUAACUAUGUACCCACUAACUGCACUCCUGGCCACUUGCCCUAGAGAAAUAAAAGUUGAUAUUCAUGCAAAAACUUGUGCAUGAGUUUUCACAGAAGCUUUAUUUUUAACAACCAAACUAUAAACCCAAAUGUCCUUCAACAGGUGGAUGGCUAAGCAAACCGUGGUACAGCCAUACAAUGGAAUAGUACUUAGUAAUAAGGAAUGAACUAUUGAAUGAUUUGCAAUGACCUCAAAGGAAUUAAACUUUAAAAAUUUAAUCUCAGGCCGGGUGCGGUGGCUCACACCUGAAAUCCCAGUACUUUGGGAGGCUGAGGUGGGCGGAUCACGAGGUCUGGAGUUCGAGAUCAUCCUGGCCAACAUGGCAAAACCUCGCCUCUACUAAAAAUACAAAAAUUAGCCGGGUGUGGUGGCACCCGCCUGUAGUUCCAGUACUUGGGAGGCUGAGGCAGGAGAAUUGCUUGAACCUGGGAGGCGGAGGUUGCAGUGAGCCAAGAUCGUGCCACUGCACUCCAGCCUGGGCGAUAGAGCCGAGACUCUGUCUCAAAAAAAGGA
rnacentral:lncRNA from 1 species